rnacentral:rRNA from 1 species
GGGGGGGGGGGGGGGGGGGGGUGGGGGGGGGGGGGGGUGGGGUGGGGGGGUGGCGGGGGUCGGCGGGUGGCGCGCGGGUGCGUAGGACGUGGGUAGCCUGCCCACAACUUUGGGAUAACGCGGGAAGACUGGGGCGACUACUGGAUAUGUGUGCCUGCUGCAUUGUGGGGUUUGCACAGCUCCGGCGGUUUGUGAUGGACUCGCGGCCUAUCCGCUCGGUGGUGGGGUAGUGGCCUACCAAGGCGGCGACGCGUAGCCGGCCUGAGAGGGUGACCGGCCACAUUGGGACGGAGAUACGGCCCAGACUCCUACGGGAGGCAGCAGGGGGGAAUAUUGCACAAUGGGCGCAAGCCUGAUGCAGCAACGCCGCGUGCGGGAUGACGGCCUUCGGGUUGUAAACCGCUUUCAGCAGGGACGAAGCUUUUUGUGACGGUACCUGCAGAAGAAGCACCGGCUAACUACGUG